GGACCUGAUUGAAACUUAGCUGAAUUGGUUUUAUUAGACCUGAAACUAAACCAAAUUAAAUUUAUUAAUGUAAAGAGAACGCACCCUAAGUAAUUUGACAUCUCACUAAUUAACUAAUUUUAUCAAUUGAAACACUCAUUUGUUUUAACUAAUAGCUGCAUUUAACAACCCAGUUUUUUUUAUUUAUUGAUAUUAUACUUUGAGAUAAUAUCACUACAUAUCACUUGGUCUAAUAAUUAAUACUUAAUACUUUAGUAUAAAACCUUAAAUAAAUCGUGAAAUAAUUCAAUAGAUUCGUAUAGAAGUAUAAUCUAUAAAUAUUGCCGAAUUUUUUUAAAAAUUGUUCCAAAAAAAAAAAGUCACCUUAAAAUUAGGGAGAAUUCAGUUUCUUAUGCUUCCUUCCGAUUAUCUUUACCUAAUCACAAUGUCAAAACACAAAUUAGAAAACAUCAGGAACCCUUGUUUAAACCCUAAUCUGGUUCUCUACAUUCUACCAGUCUACUGCUUUGCGUCUCUUUCUCUGUGCUUCCAUUGCUCCCUGAGCUUUGACUAAUUAGUUUUUCCGUCGAUUGUAUUUUCAUAAUUGCAACAAUGGCAGUAGUCAAUACUCAAUUAUCACUUAAUUGUGUCAACGACCCUUUCUUCUUCUUCGUCUUCCUUAUUCUCCCCCUCCAAUUUUAAUUCUUCCAGAGCUCAUAUUGUUUAUGGUAGAGUAAAAAAUGCAGGGGUUUGCAAAUGUGUUGCAACUCCAUCUGCUGAACACACUGGUCUCACGAAAUUCGAAUAUGGCUAUGCUUCAAGCUGGUUAUCUCUUCCCCGAGAUUGCCAAAAGAAGAGCAGCACACUUGGUAAAAUAUCCAGAUGCUCAAGUGAUAAGCCUUGGAAUUGGUGACACUACUGAGCCUAUACCUGACAUUAUAACAUCUAUGGCUAAGAAAGUAAGAUAUGCAAUUGCUUCAUCGUUUUAUGGAAGCCUCGACAUUGAAGAAGGUGAUAUAUUUGUCUCGCCGGAGCUAAGUGUGACAUCACGACUUCAGAUGCUUUUUGGAUCAGAUAUAUCAAUAGCUGUUCAAGACCCAUCUUAUCCGAGAAUGGAGAGGUUCUCUGUUACCCAGACUCGGCAAAUUUUUCCAUAUACCGGUGUUGGUACGACACGACACCAACACCGGUACGAAAUACGUGUCGGAUCCGGUAAAGUUCCCUCGGACACGGCGACUCUAAACCCUAGAUUCUCUAACCCUAGAGUUCGAAGAGGAGAAGAGAAGAAAAGAAGAAGAGGAGAAAAGGAAAAGGCGAUAACUCACCUUGACUCAGCGACCAGAGCUUCAAACUCGCCACCGGAGGUUCAAACUCGUCGGUAUGUUUACUGCUGUAUCCUUUCUUCACUUUUCUCUUCUUCUCUCUCUUCGAACUUCUCGCCUCACCUAGUCACCUUCUCUUUGUUUUUCUUUUCCUUUUCCUUUAUGAGUCCACGUGACUCCUUUACUUUUCUUUUUCUUUCUCUCCUUCUUCUGUUCUGUUUUCACGUGACAUUUCUUCUUUUACUUUUCUUUUUUCUUUUUAUUUUUCUUUCUCUCUUUUCAAUUCCUUCCUUGGUUCUGUUUUUUUUAAAAAUCAUUUUUGUUCUUCUUAGCCUAUGGCUAGGUUGUUAUUCUUUUUGUUUUUAAACAAAUACCUUAAUUUUAUUAGUAUAUUACAAACAGACAUUUAUAAAAUCUGAAUUACCAGAUUAAUUAUUGAAUUUUAUAUUAUAGAAUAUUAAUUUUGCCAUACCCGUACCCGUGUCCAAAAUCCGGACAGUGUCCCCGUGUCCUGAUUUUUUGGAAGUGUCGUACCCGACACUCGGAUCCGUACCCAAACUCGACACUCCUAGGCGAGUCCGGGUAACAUAGGAGAGGUUAUUUCCUUGUGAAAAAUUAAUUGGCAAAUCCCAACUAUGACCCAUCCGCUUUUAAUGAUUCAAACUAUGGAUUAUUUCAAAAUAAUCUUCACUAUUGUAUGCCAAAAAUGCUCUAGAGUGACUUGUUACUCGUUAAGGAGAGAAAGGAGGGAGAGUAAACCUGAGUCAAAAGUUUUAAAAAAUCAGUGAAGUUUCAAUUGUAAACUUACCUUGCCUUUAAUUGCAUUUAUGUUCAUCAUUUUGAACCGUGAGUAAGAAACCCUAAAUUUGGAAAAAACUCGUAAUUCAAGAUUUGGUGACAAUUGAUGGCUGUCAACACUUACUGGAGGUCACAUAGGGUGCCUAGGAGCCAUCCACCAUCAGUCCCGACCCAUCUUUUGCAGUCGAGCAAUCUUCUUUAUCUUUCUCUUCUUUGAUCUUCUCUUUUUCUACGACUUUCAUCUCUCCUGCUUUCACUUCUCUUCCCCUAUCUUCUCUUCUUCGUUCUUCUUUUCUUCUUUUGCUUAUCUUUGAGACUUUGAUACGGCUAAGCCCGGUACUCACUCAUCUAUUAUCUACACAUAUGCAAGAAGGAAGAGAGGAAGGAAGGGUCCAGACGUCUUCACACAUGGAGGGACACAUGUCAACAUAGGAGUGAAAGAAGGCAACAUAGGAGUGGAGGAGGAAUAGCAUAAUUCCUGACAUCAUAACAGAAAUUAGUUAUGAGUAAUAGAGAGAGAAAGGCAUGUGUGUAAAUAUAUAAAUAGGGGCCUCGCCCAAAGAGGGAAGUAUCCAGAAAUUAGAAUGGAGAGUGAUUUAAUGGCAGAGAACCUUGCCUCUCGAAAGUAAGGGGUGUUAGGAGGAGAUUCUUAAAUCUUGCUUAAUACAAAACUAUCCUACUAUUGUGCUAUUUUUUAUUGUAUUUUUCUACUGUUUGCCUAGUUGAGAUCCCCUAAAUCUUAGCAUUUGGUAUCAGAAAGAAUUAUGGCGAUAGAAAACAUGGUGGCAACCCAUUCCCAGCGGAUCGAGCAAGUGUAGCAAGGAAUUUCGCUAAGUGAGGAGGUAGCUACAGCGGGUUCUCGAGCACUCGAGACGCUACAGCAAACACUCGCUGCUCGUAUCGCCACUAACAGCAAACACUCGCUGCUCGUAUCGCCACUAACCUCGAGUCGGCCACUAAGCAACUUUGGCAAAGAGGCGCCUCGAGUUAUAAAACCGAGGAGACCGGAGAGAUGACGAUGGCGAGAAAGGCAGGGGAGAUCACUCACCUCGCGAAGUGGAGGAGCUACCAAUGAGGGAGAGGUGGAAGGGAACAUCGCUUGGAGGAGUUUGAAGAUGAGGUUGGGUACCUUAGUGGGUUUUGCGGUGGUGGAAGUUGGAGGGCCAAAAAAUUGGAUCUACCCAUUUUUUGGGGGGAUAAUCCUGAUGGGUGGUUCAUGCAUGCGGAGCAAUUCUUCCAAUUUUACCGGUUAACGGAGGAAGAGCAAGUUGCAACUGCGGUGGUUUCCAUCGAUGGGGACGCUUUAUUGUGGUAUCAAUGGGAGAAUUGUCGCCGACCGAUCUCCCGGUGGUCGGAGAUGAAGGUUAUGAUAUUGCGCCAGUUUCGGAUCCCUCCAAGAGAAGUGGCUCAGCCUUUAGCACGAGGGUGGGGUGGAGUAGUGGAGUAUAUUAGGAGGUUUAUUGAAUUGUUAGCCCCGUUAGAAGGCAUACCAGAAACUAUAGACCAUGCCUAAUUUGUAAGUAAGCUGAAAGAAGACAUCAAGAAUGAGCUUAGAAUUAUUGGGCCUAAAUCUUUGGCACAUACCAUGGAUUUAGGCGUUCAAAUUGAAGCCAAACUCAACUACUAUCCGAAGAAAAGGUGGGAGGAGUGACGCUCCUACACCACUGGCCCAACCCACUCUUAUAGCCUAACCAAUCACCCACAAAAAUCCACCUACUCAUGUCUCAUCACAACCAGCGUGUAGCCUCACUCCACUUCACUACAUACUCAAACCAACCAUCUAGAUCCACCAACAACCACAUACCCAUAGCCUAACCUGUCGAAGAGAUAAGAAGACUCAAUGAUGAGUUACAAUACAAACUUGACAAGGGUUUAUGUUUUAGGUGUGAUGAAAAAUGGACGGUAGGGCCUAAAUGCAAAAAAAAAAAAAGAAGUUAAGUGUGUUAUUGGGCCAAAAUGGUACGCAAUGGACCCGAAACGGUCGUAAAAGUUCUUAUGUCCGUUCAAAGUCAAGGAAGUCCUUAAUAUACCAUCCAAUGUCCCUUCAAGGCAUCCCAGACGUCUAAAAUCGUGACUUAUACAACCUUUAAUUUUGACAAUUUUAGGGCUCCUCCGGGCCUGGUCAUAUUUUUCACCCAGAACCUUCAUAUAGGGUGCGACACGACUUAUAAUGCAUCCCAGGUGCUUCCCACCAACUGAAUUGCCCAAAAAUGCCAUCAAACCACCCAUUUAUGAUUUUGUCGUGCAGCCACGGAAUGACUCCGAAACAGUUGUAAAAGCUGUUAUUAUUCCCGUUCAAAGUCGUAGGAGUCCUUCAUAUACCAUCCAAUGUCCCCUCGAGGCAUCCCACGACAUUCGGUGCACGGGUCCCGUAGAUGUCUAAAAACGUGACUUAUACAGCCUUUAAAUUUGACCGUUUUAGGUCUCCUCCGGGCCCGGUCAUAUUUUUCGCCGAAAACCUUCCUAUGAGGUGCGACACGACUUAUAAUGCAUAUCGGGUGCUUCCCACCAACUGAAUUACCCCAAAAUGCCAUCAAACCAGCAAUUUAUGAUUUUGUUGUGCAACCACGGAAUAACCCCGAAACGAUCUUAAAAGCUGUUCUUGUGCCCGUUCAAAGUCAGGCGAGUCCUUAAUAUACCAUCCAAUGUCCCCUCGAGCCAUCCCUCGCCAUUCUGUGCACUGGUCCCGUAGAUGCUUAAAAGUGUGACUUAUAGCCUUCAAUUUUUACCGUUUUAGGGCUCAUUCGGGCCCGCUUAUUUUUUUUCACCGAAAACCUUCCUAUGGGGUGCGGCAUGACUUUUAAUGCAUACCGGGUGCUUCCCACCAACUGAAUUGCCCCAAAAUAUCAUCAAACCACCCAUUUAUGAUUUUGUCGUGGAGUCAUAGAAUGACCAUGAGACGUUCGUAAAAGUUGUUCUUAUUCCCGUUCAAAGUCGUGAGAGUGCGUAAUAUACCACUCCAUGUCUCUUUGAGGCAUCCCACGAUAUUCGGUGCACGGAUCCCGUGGACGUUUAAAAGCGUUACUUAUAGCCUUUAAAUUUGACCGUUUUAGGUCUCUUUCGGGUCCGGUCAUAUUUUUCGCCGAAAACCUUCCUUUGGGGCGCGACACGACUUAUAAUGCAUACCGGGUGCUUGCCACCAACUGAAUUGCCCCAAAAUGCCAUCAAACCACCCAUUUAUGAUUUUGUCGUGCAGCCACGAAAUUACCCCGAAAUAGUCUUAAAAGUUGUUCUUGUCCCCGUUCAAAGUCGUGGGAGUCCUUAAUAUACUAUCCAAUGUCCCCUCGAGGCAUCCCAUGACAUUCGGUGUACGGGUCCCGUAGAUGUCUAAAAGUGUGACUUAUAGCCUUCAAUUUUGACUGUUCUAGAGCUCCUCCGGGCUCGCUUAUUUGUUUUACUCAGGACUUUCCUAUAGGGUGCAGCACGACUUAUAAUGCAUCCCGGGUGCUUCCCACCAAUUGAAUUGCCCCAAAAUGUCAUCAAACCACCAAUUUAUGAUUUUGUCGUGCAGUCAUAGAAUGACCAUGAAACAUUCGUAAAAUUUCUUAUUCCCGUUCAAAGUCAUGGGAGUGCUUAAUAUACCACCCCAUGUCCCUUUAAGGCAUCCCACAACAUUCGGUGCACGGGUCACGUGGACGUUUAAAAGCGUGACUUAUAGCCUUUAAAUUUGACCGUUUUAUGUCUUCUCCGGGCCCAGUCAUAUUUUUCGCCAAAAACCUUCCUUUGGGGUGCGACACAACUUAUAAUGCUUCCCACCAACUGAAUUGCCCCAAAAUGACGUCAAAUCACCAAUUUAUGAUUUUGUUGUGCAGCCACGAAAUAACCCCGAAACGAUCUUAAAAGUUGUUCUUGUGCCCGUUCAAAGUCGUUGGACUCUUUAAUAUAUCAUCCAAUGUCCCCUCGAGGCAUCCCACGACAUUCAGUGCACGGGUCCCGUAGAGGUUUAAAAGCGUGACUUAUCGCCUUCAAUUUUGACCGUUUUAGGGCUCCUUCGGGCCUAAUAAUAUUUUUCUCCGAAAACCUUCCUAUUGGGUGCGGCACGACUUAUAAUGCAUACCGGGUGCUUCCCACCAACUGAAUAUCCCCAAAAUGCCAUCAGAACACCAAUUUAUGGUUUUGUCGUGCAGCCACAUAAUAACCUGAAACGGUCUUAAAAGUUGUUCUUGUGUCCGUUCAAAGUUGUGGGAGUUCUUAAUAUUCCAUCCCUUGUCCCCUUGAGGCAUCUCACGAUAUUGUGCAGAGGUCCCGUAGAUGUCUAAAAGCGUGACUUAUAGCCUUUAAUUUUGACCGUUUUAAAUCUCGUCUAGGCCCGAUCAUAUUUUUCACUCAGAACUUUCCUAUAGGGUGCCGAACGACUUAGAAUGCAUCCCGGGUGCUUCCCACCAACUGAAUUGCCCAAAAUGCCAUCAAACCACCCAUUUAUGAUUUUGUCGUGCAGCCACAGAAUAACCCCGAAACGUUCGUAAAAGUUGUUUUUAUUCCCGUUCAAUGUCGUGGGAGUCCUAAAUAUAUCAUCCCAUGUCCUUUUGAGGUAUCCCACGACAUUCGGUGCACGGGUCCCGUGGACGUCUAAAAGCGUGACUUAUAGUCUUUAAAUCUGACUGUUUUAGGUCUCCUCCGAGCACGGUUAUAUUUUUCGCCAAAAACCUUCCUAUGGGGUGCGGCUCGAUUUAUAAUGCAUCUCGGGUGAUUUCCACCAUCUAAAUUGUCCCAGAAUGUCAUCAAACCACCCAUUUAUGAUUUUGUCGUGUACCCACGGAAUGACCUCGAAACGAUCGUAAAAGUUGUUCUUGUUCCCGUUUAAAGCUGUGGAAGUCCUUAAUAUACCAUCCCAUGUCCCCUCGAGGUAUCCCAUGAAAUUUAGUACAUAGUCCCAUAGAUGUCUAAAAGCGUGACGUAUAACCUUCAAUUUUGACCGUUUUGGAGUACCUAUGGACCCGGUCAUAUUUUUUCACUCAGAACUCUCCUACAGGGUGCGACACGGCUUAUAAAACAUCCUGGGUGCUUCUCACCAUCUGAAUUGCCCUAGAAUGUCAUCAAACCACUUAUUUAUGAUUUUGUCGUGCAUCCACGGAAUGAACCCUAAACGGUCGUAGAAGUUGUUUUUUUUCCCGUUCAAAGCCGUGGGAGUCCUUAAUAUACCGCCACAUGUCCCCUCGAUGCAUCCCAUGACAUUCGUUUCACGGGUCUCGUGGACGUCUAAAAGCGUGAUUUAGGUCAAUCUAGAAGUUGUCCUUUAAUUUUGACCGUUUUAAGUCUCCUCCGGGUCAGGUCAUAUUUUUCGCAGGAAACCUUCAUUUGGGAUGCGACACAACUUAUAAUGCAUCUCGGGUGCGUCCCACUAUAUAAAUUGCCCCAAAAUGGCAUCAAAUCUGCCAUUUAUGAUUUUGUCGCUCAUCUACAGAAUGUCCCCGAAACAAUUGUAAAAGUUGUUGUCCCCCUUUCAAAGUCGUGGGAGUCAUUAAUAUACCAUCUCAUGUCUCUUCGAGGCAUCACACGACAUUUAGUGCACGGCUCCGUGGACGUCUCAGAGCGUGACUUAUAGCCUUUAAUUUUGACUGUUUCAAAAUUCCUCCGGGUCGGGUCAUGUUUUUCGCCGAAUUGCCCUAGAAUGCUAUCAAACUAUCAAUUUAUGAUUUGGUCGUGCAGUCACGGAAUGACCCCUAAACGAUCGCGAAAGUUGUUCUUUUUCUUGUUCAAAGCCGUAGCAGUCCUUAAUAUAUCAUUCCAUGUCACCUCGAGGCAUCCCACGACAUUCGGUGCAGAGGUCCCGUAGACGUCUAAAAGCGUAACUUAUAGGCUUCAAUUUUGAUCAUUUUAGGGCCCCUUCGGGACUGGCUAUUUUUUUCGUCGAAAACCUUCUUAGGGGGUGCAACACGACUUUUAAUCCAUCCCGAGUGUUUCCCACCAUCUGAAUUGCCCCUGAAUUACAUUAAACCACCAAUUUAUGAUUUUGUCAUGCAGCCAAUGAAUGACCCCGAAACAAUCGGAAAAGCUGUUCUUACGCCCGUUUAAACUUGUGGGAGUCCUUAAUAUACCAUCCCAUGUUCCUCUCGAGGCAUCCCACGACAUUCGGUGCACGGGUCCCGUGGACAUCUUAAAGCGUGACUUUCAAUUUUGACCGUUUAAGGGCUCCUCCGGACACGAUCAUAUUUUUCGCCGAAAAUCUUCCCAUGGGGUGCGGCUCGACUUACUUAUAAUGCAUCUCGGGUCCAUCUGAAUUGUCCCAAAAUGCCAUCAAACCACACAUUUAUUAUUUUGUCAUGCAGACGAAAUGACCCCGAAACGUUCGUAAAAACUAUUUUUGUGCCCGUUCAAAGUUGUGGGAGUCCUUAAUAUAUCAUCCCAUGUCCCCUUGAUGCAUCCCACGAUAUUCAAUGCACUGGUCCCGUGGAUGUCUAAUUAUAUCAUUCAAUUUUGACCGUUUUAGGACUUCUCCGGGCCCGGUCAUAUUUUUCGCAAAAAACCUUCCUAUAGGAUGCGGCACGACUUAUAAUGCAUCCCGGGUGCUUCCCACCAUCUGAAUUGUCCAAAAAUGUCAUCAAACCACCCAUUUAUUUUUGUUGUGCAGCCACGGAAUGACGUGGAAACGGUCGUAAAAGCUGUUCUUGUGCCCGUUCAAAGCCGUAGGAGUCCUUAAUAUACCAUAAUAUGUCCCAUCGAGGCAUCUCACGACAUUUGGUGCACGGGUUAUGUGGACAUCUAAAAGCAUGAUUUAUAGCCUUAAAUUUUGACCGUUCUAGGGCUCCUCCGGACACGAUCAUAUUUUUCGCCGAAAAUCUUACUAUUGGGUGCGGAUCGGCUUAUAAUGAAUCUCGGAUGCUUCCCACCAUCUGAAUUGCCCUAGAAUGCCAUCAAAACAUCUAUUUAUGAUUUUGUUGUGCAGCCACGAAAUGACCCCGAAACAGUCGUAAAUGUUGUUAUUGUGUCCGUUCAAAGCCGUGGGAGUCCUUAAUAUACCUUCCAUGUCCCCUCGAGACUUUACAGGACAUUCGGUUCAUAGGUCCCGUGGACGUCUAAAAGCGUGACUUAUAGGCUUCAAUUUUGACUGUUCUAGGGCUCCUCUGGCCCCGGUCAUAUUUUUCGCCAAGAACCUUCCUAUGAGGUGCGACACGACUUAUAAUGUAUCCCGGUUGCUUCCCACCAUCUGAAUUGCCCAGAUGGUCAUCAAACCACCCAUUUAUUAUUUUGUCGUGCAACCAUCGAAUCUGGAAGGUUCUUUUUGGGCUGCAGGCGUAUGUAGACUUGAGUUGUUACAAUGGGACAGACAGGACAAUAUCAGGAUUGUUUGAAGAAGUAUGGUUAGAUUGAGUACAUGAAGUGUAUUCCUGAGAAUGGCUUCUUUCCUGCUGUUCGCUAGACAGAGCUGAUUUUCUUUUGCUCACCAAACAAUCCUACUGGUGCUGCUGCAACAAGAGAGCAACUAACGGAAUUGGUGCAAUUUGCUAAGGACAAUGGGUCAAUUAUUGUCUAUGAUUCUGCAUAUGCUAUGUAUAUUUCAGAUGACAGCCCACGCUCAAUAUUUGAAAUUCCUGGAGCCAAGGAGGUUGCUAUUGAGACCGCCUCCUUUUCUAAGUAUGCUGGAUUCACCGGUGUUCGUCUUGGCUGGACUGUCGGGCCAAAAGCGCUAACUUGAAGGAUCAUGGCCAUCUUGCCUUGUUUGUCGAAGAAUUUGAAUAAUGAUGUGCAUAUUUUCUUUCUGCUUUAUGCUUCUUUUUUGCUUCUUCCAUUAUUUUUUUUUCUUUUAUCAAGCUUCCAACACAUUCUAUUUUCAAAUGUUAUUGGCAGGGUCAGAAUUUGAGUUCGUCCAGAACUUGUUUAUGCCCCAUGUACUAUCAGCUUGAAAAUAUGUUGUAAAUUACUUCUUAUAUUAUCAGCUUGAAAUAUGUUGUAAAUUACUUCUUACAUUAUCAGCUUGAAAUAUGUUGUAAAUAACUUCAUCUUCAACCCUCCAAAAGGUUUCUACAAAUGUGAAUUAAUUUUGUUAAGUUGGAUCUUGCAAAGAAGUCUAUAAAUAUUGAUUAGUGGCAUUAAA